GCCCUAGAUAAUGGAGUACCGGGCUCAAUACCCAGGCCGAGACCAAUAGCGGCUCGGGAGGCCAAAACAAACCUCACCAUUUAAUUGAUUUCUUCUUUUUUCAUUUUUUCUCGUGUUGUUCGCCGCCAAGAUGACCGAGACGAGUGCCGUGGUGGAGAAGCCCCUCCGCUCCGUCCUUGCUCUGAAGAACAAAGGAAGAACAGAAGAAAGGAAGGAAGGUCAUCUCGGAAGACUCAAGACCCAGUCACCCCAGUCCAAAGGAAAGGUCGCAAGAGGUCAAGAAGGUCACAGUACAAAGGAGCAGUCCAGUCCUUGUUAAGUUAUUGGAAAGGGAAGGGAGGAAAGGAAAGGAAAGGAAAGGAAGGGGAAGGGAAGGAAAGGAUAGGAAAGGAAGGAAAGGAAAGAGAAGGGAAGGGAAGAGAAGGGAAGGGAAGGAAAGAGAAGGAUAGGAAAGGAUAAGGAAAGGAAGGAUAGAGAAGGGAAAGGGAGGGAAGGAAAGGAAGGAGAGAGAAGGGAAGGGAAGGAAAGAAAAGAGAAGGGAAGGAAAGGAAAGGAAUCAACAGAGAAGUACAUAUAUAGUUCAGCUUACAGUCACAUACAGUUACACUCACAUAGAUUUACAUACAGUUUCGACGGUGCGUUUGACAAAGGCGGUUGACUCAGUGGGUAGCGGAUUGGCCCGGCCCACAGUGUUAUGGACGCUCUCAACACAAGUACAGUAAACCCUCGAUAUAACGGACUAAUUUAUUUACUUACUUAUUUUUUUUCACAUCAGAGGACACGUCUCAAGGGCAGUAAGGAGGAGUAAAAAAAAAAAAAAAAGCCCGCCACUCGCUGCUCCUUUAAAAGAUAAAAGUAAGAGAGGUCAAUUUUGGGUGGAGAGGUGUCUUAAUACACGCUCAGUUUUGGGGGAACUUAGUCCGUUAGUGCCGAGAGUCUGUUAUAAGCGGCAAAUAUAAAAAAAAACGUAAAAUAAGAAAACGACGAAGCUAGUAAACGUAGGUAUGUAUAUUUUUUGUUGUGUAUGUUGUGUGCACAUUUUCUGCAUGGCCGCGCUCCGAGGCACUGAGGUUGCUAGGUUGUGAGUGGGGUCUUGCGUGGGGGUCAUAUUGUUACGGGUAUGGGUAUGAUUUUACAAGUACAGCGAGUAGCGGGCUUUUUUUUCAUUAUUGUUUACUUUUUUUGUGCCCUUGAGCUGUCUCCUUUGUUGUAAAAAAAAUAAUAAAAUGCGCCAAUCUCACACUGGCAGACGAAAUUUUUUUAUAGUUUUUGGUGUGUUAUGAAAUAAUCUGCUAACUGUUUCUGUCACAGGUAAUUAAAUGAUUGACUUUUCAAUGCCUGGGGUACACUCUCCACAGCACCUGUAAAAUAACUUGCAGAGAGAAAUGUUCAACUUGCUUACAGUUUCUAUAUUUCACACCGGGUUCGAUUCCCGGGCGGAGUUGAAAAAUUUGGGCGGCUUUUCCGAUACCCUACGCCCCUGUCCACCCAGCAGUGAAUGGGUUCCAGGUAUUAAUCGAGGGUUGUGUACUGUCUCCUGGGAUCUGUUGCCUUCUCCUAUAAUUCCUUCCCCUUCUGUCUCUCUCCGGCAUAUGACCACAGAUGUUGCGCCCACUAAACAAAACCCUUUAUAUUUCACUCACCACCCACAAUGAUCACAAGUGGAUAAAGUAGAACAAAACCAGGCUAAUUGAUGUUUUUCCUGCCAUGUAUUCCCCCAGUGCGCAUGUGUGAUGGACACCAGAGUGACUUAUUUCUGCGAGGAGGUAUUUCUCGGAACACGCACACCGCUGCCAUGUCCCGUCCCGCGCUGUGUAUUCCCGCGCCCCACACUGAGUGCCCAAUACAUUUACUACCCAUAAAUAACUUAACCUAACCUACCUAAGUGGGGAUUUAGCCCCCCUCGACACUCUUAAGCUGUGCCUGUACCGACACUCACAAACACUUGGCUAUUUUCCAUUACAUUUACGUCCUGGAUUGAUGCAUAAGACUUUCCUGUGGUAUAAAUAUGUUCUUCAUUUAGUUAUUUGUGACAGAAACAGUUAACAGAUUAUUUCAUAACACACCGAAAACUAUCCCCCCCCAGAAAAAGGUUUUGUCUGCCAGUGCGAGAUUGGCGCGCUUGUAAAAUUUUACCCAUACCUGUAACAACAUGGCCCCCCUGCAAGACCCACUGGCAACCUGGCAACCUCAGUGCCUCGGAGUCUGUCGCCAAGUGUGCACACAACAUACACAAUAAAAAAAAUAUAUAUACAUACCUGCGUUUACUAGGUUUUUUGUUUGAUUAUUUUAUGUUUUUUAAAAUCUUCGCUGCUUAUAAUGGACUUUCGGCACUAACGGACUAAGUUCCCCCCAAAUUAGUUUGUUAUAUUGAAGGUUUACUGUACUUGUGUUGAGCGAGUCCAUGACACAGUGGGCCGGGCCAAUCCACGACGCACUGAGUCAAUGGAAACCACGAGGAGGAAAACAUUUCAUGAGGUGGGCUGAGGCAGGCUACAGUAACCCAAGGAUGGGGCACCAGACAAAGGGAGGAGGGCGAGGUGGCUAGUUACUGGGCGCAGUUCGUUCAAAAAACAUUCUUGAUCGCAUGGAUUUCUGACCCUCUGACCUUCUCGGGGCUUUGUGGUGCAGUGGUUAGCACACUCAGCUCACAACCUUUAGAGCCCGGGUUUGAUUCCCGGACGGAGCGGAAAAAAUUGGGCGGGUUUAUCGGUACCCUACGUCCCUGUCCACCCAGCAGUGAAUGGGUACCAGGUAUUAAUCGGGGGUUGUGUCCCGUCUCCUGGGAUCUGUUCCCUUUCUCCUAUAAUUCCUUCCCCUUCUGUCUCCGGCAUAUGACCACAGAUGUUGCGCCAACUAAACAAAAUUUUCCAACUUUUUCUGACCUUCUCCAUUAUAUCCGAAAUCCAUUAUAAGUGGGUCUGUUAUAUCCAGGGUUUACUGUAUAUGUAUAUGGUUAAGCUGUUGUAGUUACCAGAAGCAGGUGGUUCAAAAGCUAUUCUCGGUCCGUCCCCGUGGAUUUCUCACCCUCUGACCUUGUCCGCUAUAUCCAAAAUCCAUUAUGAGCGGGUCUGUUAUAUCCAGGGUUUACUGUAUUAUGUAUGUAGUUAACCGUGUAGCAGCGACAGGCCAAAUUUGUGCCAUGAUAUAACCCCCCAAAAAUAGAUGAUACAUAAUCUGAUCAUAAAUGCUUUGAUAUAUAUUAUGAAAUGGUUUGUGUGAGGGGUGAUUUUUUUUUCUCAUUUUUCUCACUUAGAGGGACCAUUAAGAAACAUGAUCCACGCUGCUACUGGGUUAAUAAUAAGCUGUUGUAGUUACCAGAAACGGGUGGUUCAAAACUAUUCUUGGUCGGUCCCUGUGGAUUUCUGACCCUCUGACCUUGUCUGUUAUAUCCGAAAUACAUUAUAAGCGGGUCCGUUAGAUCCAGGGUUUACUGUAUAGUUGAGGUCAGUUCGCCUACAGUUGAGAUACAGUUAGUUUUAUACAGUUUAGAACUAGCUUUCUUUCUCUCUGUUCAGAUAAUAUUGCCUGUGUUAUAGAGUUCAGCUUCCUCUCACUAGGUAGGCAUAUACAUAGGCCUAUACAGUUUGCUACAUAGUGAUUAGAUCUCUCUCUCUCUCUGUUAAGAUAAUAUUGCCUUUGUUAUAGAGUAUAUAUAACACAGUCUCAUACGGUUAGCUAGGUACAUACAGUUGACAGUUUAUUUUGUUUGUAUCUUCUUCUCUUACCGUACCUUACCUCUCUCUCUGGUCAUCUCUUUGUUAUUCCAUAAUUGGUUAAGACACUAUCUUACCUUACCUUACCUUGCCUUGCCUUGCCUUGCCUUGCCUUGCCUUACCUCUCUCUCUCUGGUCAUCUCUGAUACCUUUCUCUCUCUCUCUCUUUUAUCGGUAAAUUUCUUCUGUUCUUUCAUUAUUUAUUUUCCUUCUCUCAUCUCUCUCCUUCCCUUACCUCCUCUCUCUCUCUCUCUCUCUCUUUACCUUUUCCUCUCUCUCUCUCUCUCUUUACCUUUUCCUCUCUCUCUCUCUCUCUCUCUCUUUUAUUGGUAAAUUUCUUCUGCUCUUUCUUUCAUUAUUUAUUUUCCUUCUCUCAUCUCUCUCCUUCCCUUUCCUCCUCUCUCUCUCUCUCUUUUGCUUCUCAUUUUGUUCUGUCUCUCUCCCUCUUUACCUUUUCCUCUCUCUCUCUCUCUCUCUCUCUCCCUUCUGAUACCUUUCUCUCUCUCUCUUUUAUCGGUAAAUUUCUUCUGCUCUUUCUUUCAUUAUUUAUUUUCCUUCUCUCUCCUUCCCUUACCUCCUCUCUCUCUUAUUCUUCUCAUUACGUUCUCUGUCUCUCCCUCUUUACCUUUUCCUCUCUCAUAGGAAUAGAACACACAAACAUUACAAAUCAACUUUUUAUUAAUAGAAAAACACACAUACAUACAUACACAUAGUAACAUUGAUAAGGCUAUGUUGGCUAGGGGGGAGGGAGGGAGGGAGGAGGGGGUCCUUCAUGAGGCUGGGGGGGUAUGUGUCUGUGGGGGGUUGUCAACAUACUGUUGGGGGUACAUCUGUGGGGUCCUGUGAGCUGUGGUGAGGUGAGAGAGAGAGAGAGAGAGAGAGAGAGAGAGAGAGAGAGGGGGGGGGGCA